rnacentral:rRNA from 1 species
AGAGUUUGAUCCUGGCUCAGGACGAACGCUGGCGGAAUGCUUAAUACAUGCAAGUCGAACGCACUAGCUUGCUAGUGAGUGGCGGACGGGUGAGUAACGCGUUGACAACCUGCCUUUAACUGGGGGAUAACGUCUGGAAACGGGCGCUAAUACCGCAUAUGUCUAGGUCUGAGAUGGUUUAGAUGAAAGAUUUAUUGGUUAGAGAGGGGUCUGCGUGAGAUUAGCUAGUUGGUGGGGUAACGGCCUACCAAGGCGAUGAUCUCUAGUUGGUCUGAGAGGAUGGCCAGCCACAGUGGGACUGAGGCACGGUCCACACUCCUACGGGAGGCAGCAGUAGGGAAUAUUGCGCAAUGGAGGAAACUCUGACGCAGCAAUUCCGCGUGGAGGAUGACGGUUUUUGGACUGUAAACUCCUGUCACCAGGGACGAGAAGGACUGUACCUGGAGAGGAAGCACCGGCUAACUACGUGCCAGCAGCCGCGGUAAUACGUAGGGUGCGAGCGUUGUCCGGAAUCAUUGGGCGUAAAGCGUCCGUGGGCGGUAAUGCAAGUCAUUGGUUAAAGUCACGUGCUCAACGCGUGUAUGGUCAAUGAAACUGUGUAACUAGAGUAUGGUAGAGGUUGCUGGAAUUCCUGGUGUAGCGGUGAAAUGCGUAGAUAUCAGAGGAACACCUGUGGCGAAAGCGUGCAACUGGGCCUAUACUGACGCU